CGGGGAAUCGUCGUGAUUCUGCCCAGUGAUUUUUUUUUAAAUGGCCGCAGUACCUUGACUGUGCUAAGGUAGCAUAAUCAAUUGGCUUCUAAUUAAAGUCUGGAAUGAAAGGAAAUAUGAAGUAAUUCUAUCUUAAAGGAUUUUUUUUGAAUUUAUUUAAAUGAUGAAAAUAUCAUUUUAUAGAAAAAAGACGAGAAGACCCUUAGAGUUUUGAUAUUUAUAUAUUUUUGUUGGGGCGACAGGUAAACAUAUAACUUUACGAAUUAUCAUUGAUCGAUUUUUUAUAAGAAUAAUAAAACUACCUUAGGGAUAACAGCAUUAUAUUUUUUUUUAUGAUUGUGACCUCGAUGUUGGACUAGGAACUUUAUGGCUAGCCGUCAAAAAAGAUUUGUUCUGUUCGAACAAUUUUAUCCUACGUGAUCUGA
rnacentral:rRNA from 1 species